rnacentral:rRNA from 1 species
UGGGGAAUUUUGGACAAUGGGCGAAAGCCUGAUCCAGCAAUGCCGCGUGUGUGAAGAAGGCCUUCGGGUUGUAAAGCACUUUUGUCCGGAAAGAAAUCCUUGGCUCUAAUACAGUCGGGGGAUGACGGUACCGGAAGAAUAAGCACCGGCUAACUACGUGCCAGCAGCCGCGGUAAUACGUAGGGUGCAAGCGUUAAUCGGAAUUACUGGGCGUAAAGCGUGCGCAGGCGGUUUGCUAAGACCGAUGUGAAAUCCCCGGGCUCAACCUGGGAACUGCAUUGGUGACUGGCAGGCUAGAGUAUGGCAGAGGGGGGUAGAAUUCCACGUGUAGCAGUGAAAUGCGUAGAGAUGUGGAGGAAUACCGAUGGCGAAGGCAGCCCCCUGGGCCAAUACUGACGCUCAUGCACGAAAGCGUGGGGGAGCAAAACAGGAUUAGAUACCCCUGGUAGUCCACGCCCUAAAACGAUGUCAACUAGUUGUUGGGGAUUCAUUUCCUUAGUAACGUAGCUAACGCGUGAAGUUGACCGCCUGGGGAGUACGGUCGCAAGAUUAAAACUUAAAUGAAUUGACGGGGUCAUAGCUGUUUCCU